AUUAACAUAUGAUAAAAAACAUGGUGAUCUACGUCAGUUAAGGCAGAUACAAAGAACAUGCAGAUACAAAGACAGCAACCCAGGUACUCCAAAGGUUGUUGCUCUUCAGGAAGCUCAUAUCUUCAAGAGUAGCCUUCCCAAACAAGGACUGGGUGCAAAAGAAGCCAUCACAGAUGGCAGUCAUCACUGGCUCCAUGUGGGAGGAGGCAGAGGCAACUGUGAGGACAGAGACAUCUUUGCUCCGGCAGCUCACAGCCUGCAGGCACUACUUUCUCCAGGGCUCUGGACUCGGUGAGCAUCAUGAAGAAGACAAAUCAUACUUUGAGAAAUUAAAUGAAAAAAAAAAAAAGAGAGCUGGAAGGCCGAAUCUGAUUUUCAGAACCAGCAUAUUAAUUAACCACAGAAUGUAUAUUAUUGUAGUUGUCACAGAAGAGAAUGUAAAACUUUUGACACACACUCUUAAGUGAUUCAGUACAGUUUCCUCUCUGUCAAACCAUUCCAGUUCUUGUGGUUCUACAGCUGAAUAAACGUACCUAACAGCACUGCAGGCCCCACCACCACACACACUUCCUGAGACGAGGCAGCCUUGUGCCAUUCCCUAAGCACUUCCCCACGCACCAGCUUCCCUGGCUGGCUCAGCUCUUCCCGGGUGGAGCUGGCUGUGACCUGCACAGGGCAUCUCGGGCCUCUCCUCACAUACAGAGGAUAUGCAUAUGCCAUGCAGGCCCCCUCCACCCUGUUCCCCUAUUAAAAAUUAUGCUGAAACACCAGAAAAUUCAGCAUUUUAAAUGAAGUGGAAGCGAGGCUAAGAAGUUGCUGCUGCCAGCAGAUGAGUAGUGAGAUAGUGCCAUAGGCAAACCUGUGGCUUGCUGCAACAUGGCUGUUGGGUUCUCCUGGUUAGCCCACUGGCAGAGGCUCACAGGGACAGUCCCGUCAGCCCUCAGGAGCUGCAGUCAGAUGCUGUAUUGGGUUUGCAUGGCCAGGUUUUGGUAGUGGGGAGGCUACAGGGGUGGCUUCUCUGCAAAGCCGCCAGAAGCUUCCCCCAUAUCUGACAGAGCCAAUGCCAGCCAGCUCCAGGAUGGACUCGCCACUGGACGGACCCGCAACUGUAAUUGCGGCCACUGAAGAGCUGACUGAGAAUAUGUGAGAGCAACAACUAUGCAGACAGCAAGGUCAGUGAAGAAGUGCUUCAGGUGCCAGAGCUGAGAUUCCCCUGCAGCCUAUGGUGAAGACAGCUGUUUCCCUGCAGCCCAUGGAGGUCAAUGGGAGUCAGAAAUCUACGUGCAGCCUAUGGAGGAGCUCCACGCAGGAGCAGAUGGAUGCCUCAAAAGAAGGCUGUGACCCUGUAGGAAGUCAGUGCUAGAGCAGGCUUCUGAUGGGGAUAUGCAGACCCAUGGAUAGAGGAGCGCCCAGGUGGAGGUUGUUUUCUGGUAGGACUUGUGAAUCUGUGGGGAGCCCAUACUGGAGCAGCUUGUGGCUGAAGGACUGCGCUCCAUGGUAAAGUUACCCACCCUAGAGUGGUUCGUGGAGAACUGUUGCCUGUGGGAGGGACUCACAUUGUAGAAGUUUGUGGAGAACUGUCUCCCAUGGGAGGGACUCCGUACUGGAGCAGGGGAAGGACUCUUCUCCCUGAGCAUCAGCAGAAACAAUGUGUGAUGAACUGACCAUUACCCUCAUUCCGCAUCUCCCUGAGCCACUGGGGGAGAAGAGGCAGAGCCUGGGAAGGUGGGAAGAGU